GCCACGGUAGUCUAGCGGUUAUAACGCUGGCCUUGUAAUCCUGGGGUCCCGGGUUCAAUUCCCGGUGGUGCUC
rnacentral:tRNA from 1 species